rnacentral:rRNA from 1 species
GACGAACGCUGGCGGCGUGCUUAACACAUGCAAGUCGAACGGAAAGGCCCUGCUUUUGUGGGGUGCUCGAGUGGCGAACGGGUGAGUAACAUGUGAGUAACCUGCCCUUGACUUUGGGAUAACUUCAGGAAACUGGGGCUAAUACCGGAUAGGAGCUCCUGCUGCAUGGUGGGGGUUGGAAAGUUUCGGCGGUUGGGGAUGGACUCGCGGCUUAUCAGCUUGUUGGUGGGGUAGUGGCUUACCAAGGCUUUGACGGGUAGCCGGCCUGAGAGGGUGACCGGCCACAUUGGGACUGAGAUACGGCCCAGACUCCUACGGGAGGCAGCAGUGGGGAAUAUUGCACAAUGGGCGGAAGCCUGAUGCAGCAACGCCGCGUGCGGGAUGACGGCCUUCGGGUUGUAAACCGCUUUCGCCUGUGACGAAGCGUGAGUGACGGUAAUGGGUAAAAAAGCACCGGCUAACUACGUG